rnacentral:lncRNA from 1 species
GGCCAGAAUGCAGUAAGUGCCCCUGGGAAGAGCGAUGGCGAGCAAUGAGGAAGCACAGCCGAUUCCAGUGGUGAAUACAAAUAUAUUUGGGAAGCUGCCCGUGGCCUGGGUGAGGGGACAGCACAGAGACCCCUGCCCACCCAGCCAGCCUCCCGCUCACCGCCAGGCUGGCUCCAGUCUCCUGUCUCUCCACAGACCCAGCACCCCCUCCGUCUUCUUCCUAGGGACAGGGUCAAGAGGGGUCUCUGGCGAGAUAAGGAGACGCGUCGGGGAGGCGCAGAGCUGGCUGGCAGCAUCUGCCCCGGGCUGCAAUCGCUGGCCCGGCACCUGGGGGUGGGAGGACUCUGCUGUCUGGGGACACGGGCCUCCAUCUGGGGACUCGGGAAUGUGGGGUGCUGCAGCAAGGGGCUUGGGAAGCCCAGAGGCCCCUCUAGAGUCAACCCAGAGCUGGGGGCCUGGGAUCCGUGGAGGUGCCGAAAAGCCACACACCUGACUCAGCGUGCAUCCCAGUGAAUCCCAGACCGACCCUCGAAGGCCCUGGGAAGGGGAGGGACGAUGGCAGCCUUGGGUGCCUCCUCUAAGGCCCGAAGGGGAACAAGGGGCUGCAGCAGGCAGGAGGCAGGGUGUGGAGAGGCAGCCCUGUGGUCACUUAGGUCCCUCAGGUCUGACCCGCGGGGCAAAUGCUAGCAGCCCAGCAGCUCCAGGCGCAGGGUGAUGCGGUUUUGCCAGGACACAGGCAGCACGCGCACAUAGCGAGCCAAGAAGGGCGUCUCAAACACAUUCUUCUUGUGGGAGUUGUUGUCCAAGUUGCCUUGGAAGAUCUGGAGGCAGGGAGGGUGUGGGGUCACCCCAGAGUCAGCCCCCUCCCCUCAAGCCCCCAGGGCCAGACCCCCCACCGCCGCCUCCCAAGUAGCGAAUAGAGGGUGACAGACACCCACCUUGCUGUCCACAGCCCCUGGCUCCUUGUACUCAACCCAGUUGACACCAUUGUUGCUGUAGGCCACCUUGUAGGAAGCCACGCACUGGAUGUGGCCAAAGUCACGGCGCCUUGGGUGAUGAUCCCCUCCACCUGCUUCUGGGAGCCCAGGUCAACCUACAGGAGACACCACCAUGUGUCCCUUGCCGGACCACUGGGAAGGUGGAAGGAGGCAGGUGCCCCGGGAGCUCCCUAGGGACCCCUACUUCCUUGCCUGGCCCUCAGCGGCCUAAUCUAUAGAACGGGCACAAAGAAUAACACGCCUCCCGGCCGCAUGCAGCAGCGGGCACUUCGCUGUGGUACAGUUCCUACUUCAGUCUGGCCCUGCCAACUCCACACCCAGCCCUGACUCAGCCGGGCACCACGGUAGGAUGGGACAGGGACGGAGGGAGAGGCCACAGCCUGCAGUGGGACAGACUGCUUUGAGGUCCCUUGCAUCAGUCCUGGGGGCUCCCAAGACGGGCAGUUUGGCAUGGAACCCACCCCACCUGGGCACCUCAGGCCCCCACCCCACCAGCCUGGGACAGAGUCCCACCAUCCAGCCUGCAAGCCCCACUCGCUGCCAGCCAGGGGACUCAGUUUCCCCAUCUAUAACACGGGCUCUGGUUCCAUCAUUCUUGUAUUUUAGUCCCACCAAGUCAGAGGGCAUCAGCUCUGUGCUCAAGUUAGGGGGAGGAGGCCCUGAGAUUCCUGGGUUCAGUGUCCCCCUCCCUCCUUGUGAACCCGGUGGCAGCCACUGCAGCUGGCCCUGCCCCAAACACACACACACACACACACACACACACACACACACACACACACACACACCCUUUUCCCACCUGCAAACGGAGAAAGGUAGGGUGCGUGGGAAGAGGGAGCAAGGAAACCCAAAGAAAAACAAGGCCUGCGUCUCCCGGGAGCAGAAGCCUGGCCGGGUGGACAGACAGAGGUCACGGGUGCGGUCACCCCACCUGCCCCCCAGGAUGCCCACCUGCAGCCACUCAGAGGCAUUGGGAGAGUUGCUCUGUGCUGUCCAGGCGUUGAACUUGCCCUGAUUGUCCAGCCUCUCAAGAAGAGGCGACCAGCUGAAGGCUCCUCAAGGCCCCACAUCUUAUAGCUGCUGGAGGCUGUGAUCUGCCUGUCGGGGAUGGUGCCAUCCUUCAGGCCCAGGGGUUCGGAGCAUCCUGCUGGCAAGGGGGAUCAUCACCCCAUCUGAGAUCUGCAGCUCCCUGGGCGGGAGCACAAAUCCAUGAAGGGGCAAGAGUGGAAAGAGUGUGGAUCCUGAUCUGCCCCUGAACUUUUUUUGAGACAGAGCCUCAAGGUUCCCAGACUGGCUUUGAACUCCUGGGCUCAAGCAAUUCUCCUGCCUCAGCCUCCCAGGUAGCUGGGGCUACAGGUGCUGCCACCAUACCCAGGCUGUCAUCCUCAUGAACAAGAGAAAGAAGCUCCAUCCAAAUACCCCACCUGCCACCGCCUGUCCUGCUCUCUCCUCAUGCAGCCUGGCGGCCUCGGCCCCCUCACCCUGACCGGUGCCUCGAAGACCACACAAGACCUCCUGCUGCUCAUCUCCUCGGACACCAGGGCACCCCGCCCACACUACCUCCCGCCCUCCUCCAGGACCCAGCCCACGAGAUGGACAGUGCCCUCCCUCGCACCUGCGCACCACCAACAGCCGCACCACACAGACAAUAAGACAACUACUGUCUGCCCAGUGCUGACCUCAGUUGCUACUUCAGCCCCAGGAAAACCUGAGUGGUACAGCUAUGAGUCACCCAUGCUACAGAUGAGAACACGGAGGCUGAGGCAGGAAGCACAGGACUUGCAGGCCUGCUGGGAAAGGCUCUGCCACCCCUGCCCUCCAGCACCCAGGAGUUAGAGAAGUCAGAGCCCUGGGGCCCAGGCACCCUGCAUCCUACUCUAGCCACACCUCCUUAGCUCCUACCCACGCCGAUGUCCUGGGUGCUGCUGCAGGCACAGGCACCCCCUGUGCUCAUGCACACCCUGUCCUCUCCUGUCCCUGGGAGGCAAGGCAACCUCACCGCCCACAGGGGAGGCUCGAUCUCAGGGCCUUGAGCGGAGCCAGCAGUGAUCACACAGGCAACUUUAAGCACAAAGGCCUCAGGUCGAGACAGUGAGGGGCAGGGCCCCAAGGAGAGGCCACAGACUUGACUCUCUCUCACCCGUUACCUAAAUUUCCUUCUAGCAGAAGGCAAAAGCCUUUCAGUCCCCACUUAAACAACAUGGCUCGAAAGGCAGUGGGCCUGGGAGAGGAUGCGUGUCAAACAGAGAUAGAGUGCAGCACUGCACUCCUGUAAUCCCAGCACUCUGGGAGCCUGAGGCAGUAGGGUCACAAGUGCAACUCCAGCCUAGGCAACGUAGCAAUUUAGUGAGACCCUGAAUAAAAAAAUUAAAAAGGCUGGGAAUGCGGCUCAGUGCAAAGGCUCUGGGUUCAAUCCCCAGUAUCACAAAAGAAAGGAGAGAGAAAGACAGGCACAGGAGGACUACAGGUGUAGCUCAGCAGUAGAGUGCUCACCCGGCAUGCAUGAAGCCCUCAGCUCAUCCCCAGCAACGCACACACACACAAGAUGAAACCCAGAAAGCCACAAGACCCAGGUCCAAGUGGUUCUGGAUGGUAUGUGAAACCAGGUAACGGGAAGAGGGGCCACAGAAGGGAAGGGGGUGGAGCUCGACAAAGCAGGCAGUGACCACGCCACCUUUUUCCUCGGCCUGGCUGCCGGAUAUAUGCAGUUCUACCAAGGGCCAGAAGGUGGCGCUGCGACUUUAAAAAAAACCGAAAUAUUCAGACCUGAAGGUGGCAUCUAUCAGCACAAACCAUGCACUCCAACCUCUCCAAUGGUGUUUGCUGGCUCAGCAGAAGCCUGCUCCCUUCUGGUUCCUCCCAUCUCUCCAUUUAGGACUCUCUCUGGAUAGGGCAGUAGGAAGCAAAAGCUCCUAUCCUGUAAUCCAAGAAGCCCCUAGGCUCCCAGGCUCCCCGCCCUGUGUUAUACUGCAGCUGUGUAACCCUGCUCCGCGAUGUACCUGGGUGCCACUUCCCUCCUUCCUUCAUCCAGCCACUCAUCAAGAUUUCCCCAGCACCUGUGUUCUAGAGUCACCAGGGCCCGACCAGACUGGGUGAAAGUACUUUGGAAACUGAGUUUUCUCUUGACUAACCAGAGCAUCCAGAGCCAUGGAGUGGCAGACAGCACAUACCCAGACAGGUGACCUUCUGAUGUCCCUUUCCGGUUUGACCCAGGUCCCUGGGGCUUGAUGCUGGCCCUGCCCAGCUCAAUAAAGAGGGAGCAGAGAAGGCUACCCCGAGCUGGCAGCGCAGCCUCCACACUCCACCCGUUCAGUUCACAGCCCACGAGCUCAAAGCGCAGGGUGCAGCCCCUGUGGCAGGCCACGGGGUACAGCCUCACAUACUGGACCUCCAGCGGGGGUGCUGAACAGGUUGAGCUUCAGGCCGCUGUUGUUCAUGUUACCCUCGAACACCUAGCAGGGAGGGCCGGGACUGCGGUCGGCGUGGGCAGACAGGCUGGACAGUUGGACAGUGAGGACUCGGCAGAGCCUGCAGGGGGCUCAAACAGCCCUUCCCC